AUUGAACGCUGGCGGCAGGCCUAACACAUGCAAGUCGAGCGGUAGAGAGGAGCUUGCUUCUCUUGAGAGCGGCGGACGGGUGAGUAAUGCCUAGGAAUCUGCCUGGUAGUGGGGGAUAACGUUCGGAAACGGACGCUAAUACCGCAUACGUCCUACGAGAGAAAGUGGGGGAUCUUCGGACCUCACGCUAUCAGAUGAGCCUAGGUCGGAUUAGCUAGUUGGUGAGGUAAAGGCUCACCAAGGCGACGAUCCGUAACUGGUCUGAGAGGAUGAUCAGUCACACUGGAACUGAGACACGGUCCAGACUCCUACGGGAGGCAGCAGUGGGGAAUAUUGGACAAUGGGCGCAAGCCUGAUCCAGCCAUGCCGCGUGUGUGAAGAAGGUCUUCGGAUUGUAAAGCACUUUAAGUUGGGAGGAAGGUCAGUAGCUUAAUACGUUGCUGAUUUGACGUUACCGACAGAAUAAGCACCGGCUAACUCUGUGCCAGCAGCCGCCGUAA
rnacentral:rRNA from 1 species